GAUUCUUCUCCACACAAAACACUAAUAUGCUUAUCCCUUUACCAUCCAACUCUCGGCUUUAGAAUGGGUGAAGUGGCCUUAUUCAACAUUGCCCCCUCUUCUAGUUCACAGUAUCAACAAUGGUGCAGUGAGCAUAGACCAAACACCAUGCCAACUAUCUUGUUUGUUUCCUUGAUGGGUUCUUUGUUGCAUGGUUAAUUGGUUUUGGAAGUUCGGUAGUGGAAGGUUGUUGGAAUUGCUGUGAUUAACCUCAUUCUAUUGAAUAAGCGUCUUUUUGAAGUGCUUUUGGAAGAGUGGAAAUAUUAGAUUGUAGUCUCAUAAUUCCAAAGGUGAAGGAUCAAGUUCUUAGACCAAUUUUCCCAAUUUGACUGUGAGGAAUGUUGGUUCUCGGUGGCAAGUGUAUUUGCCUUUUCUUUCUUUUCUUUUCUUUUUUCUUUUUUUUUUUUUUUUUUUGAGAAGGCUGGUUGGGGCGAAAUACUACAGUUAAGGGUCUUGUUGGUUCUUCUCAAGGUUCUUAAAAAGUGGUGAACUUGUUGUUAAGGCGUUUGAUUGUUUUGGUUCGACCAUGAGAUGAUUUUGUUCUAGGAACUCAAAUCCACUUCUUGUCGAAUCAAACCUGAAGCUUUUGUGUUGGGUUUGUUUUCCUAUUCUCUUCUUGUUUUUUGUCGUUGCCUUGAGUGCUUCAUUAAUUGUCAAGCCGGUGUAAUGUUGUUCCCACUGAGACAUUUUUAAUUGUUGUAACGCAUGGCUCGUUAUUUAAUCCCCAUCAAGAUUCUGAAUACAUAUGCUUGUGUAUCCAUGCAGGAAGUAGAAAAUUGAUUGGUGUGUUUUGCUGCUCUGUUUUCGGGGCUGGAAAGGGCAAUAUUGUGAGAUUGGUUCUUGGAAAUUUAUGAUAUAGGUGUAAUUACAAGAAUCUAUUUUGCAUGUUUAGUUGGAUAACGUGAAAUCCUUGAUGCAUGAUGCGGUUUUCUGGUAUAAUUCGCUAUUUUGAUUGAUUAAGUCCUACAUUUUUUCGGUUAUUGUUUUGCCCUGAGUUUGCUCUUUCUGAUAUAGUUGCUGUUUGAAGUUGUGGAAUGUGCGCCGACCAAUUCAUAUGGCUUCUAUACAUUUUAUCUUUUGUUUCUUAUCUGACUGAUGAUAAUGAAUAAGACGCAUGGCCGACCGUUUCUGGAAAUUGGUCAAUAUUUAUACAAUGCGUCCUUUUUUCUUUUUUAAGAAAUUAGUACAGGAUACUAAUUGUGGAGGUUCUCUUUUAACAUAAGUACCCCUAACCUAUAUUUGGGGAUUUAGUCACAUAAUAAUAAUUAUUUUUUAUUUGGAUGCAUGAAUUCCAUAAAAUGAUAAUUGUUGUUGCUUUUGGCUUUUAUUAUAAGUUUCAUGAUCUUCUAUGUGUCUUGUGCCUCUCUACUUUUUACCAUUUUUGCUUUCCAUUAUUUACCUCAUAUAUGCUGCUACCUACGAGAUGAUGCAUGUUCUCACAUCAUCAUCACCAACUCAGAAUUAGCUCUCCAACCAGUUGAUAUUAAACCACUUGCAAAUCGCAAAGCGAAGGUAUUUUUACAUUUGUAAAACCAAAGUUCGGUUUCCAUUAUCAUAUACACUUAAACAUGGAUAUAAUUUAUAAUCAUUAAUUUGGUGUCACGUUCCUAAGAGUAUUUUAUCAAUUCUUGAUUUUUGGUACUUGUUUUUUUUUUUUUUUAGAUGGAGUCUAUAAUAGAAAUAUACCUAUUUUGAUAAAACUAUCAAAUUAUUUGGAUUUUUCCCAAAAGUUAUGGAAUCGAGUUUUCUUACUAUAUUCUUUUAGGAGUUUAAAUAUAUUACCAACGAUUUAGAAAAAAAGUUAAAAUAAUCAAAUUUAAUUUUAGAAAUUUUCAUGGUGUUAGAAUUUGAGCUUCUUUACCGGAAUUUCCUUCUUGUCGGUUUUACAUGCUUCUUCUUUUUUACACUCUUUUUCUUUAAUAUGAGAGUUCAAAGUUCAAGCGCACAUGUUAAGAAUCAACUAUUGGGGGUCCUAUAAGUGCGUUGCAGUAUUCUUUCAUUUUGAGAAGUAACUUGUUAUUCUUUUACUUAGAGAAGUAAUUUGCUCCAAUAUUUUGCUCCUUUAGUCAAAGGCUUGUUCAUACCUUUGCAUGUCAAUAUUUAUUGCUCUCUCAUAUUAUUUAGAAUGUUUUUUUUUGCAAGUUUCAGUGAUUCAAUUUUUGCUUAUAUUGUUCCUUUUGCGGCCUUCAUCUGUAUGAUUGUAAAGUAGCAUUCGUUAUGUUUUUGAUAUUUUCUGUUUAUAUUGGAAUCUGAUUCAAUUAUUGUACUGCAUAGAUUUAAUGGUUUCCAGGUCUAAUGAAGUUUAUUCUUUAUAUCUUACAUUUUUAAUUAGAACUUGAACUCGAACCUGAAUAAUCAGGUUUAAAAUUGAACAUGAUUACUUUUACGGGAUAUGACGUAUUAGAUCCUCCGGAUACAUGAAACUUGACUUGAACUCGAACUUGAAUAAUCACGUUUAAAAUCGAGCAUGAUUAUUUUUACGGGAUAUGGUGUAUUAGAUCCUCCGAAUACAUUAUAUAUGUUGCAUGCUGUUCUCCUUCAAUUUUUGUUGAUUCAAAUUACCAUUGUUGUCUCUAACUUGCUGCUAGUUUUGGGUUUUUACUAUUUGCUGCUAUUUGGUGUAAUUUUUGCUUGUUUCAUUUCUUGUAAAUCUAUUCGAUUUAUCUAAUGAAAAUUGUGAACUGAGAUAAAUUGAUUAAGGAAUUACUAGAAGCCCAAGAGACAAAGAUGCCCAAUGUCCCUGUUCUCAC
rnacentral:lncRNA from 1 species